GGUGGGUAUAGCUCAGUGGCAGAGCACAUGCUUAGCAUGCAUGAGGUCCUGGGUUCAAUGCCCAGUACCUCCA
rnacentral:tRNA from 1 species